AGUUGUGCGCCACAGUCUCGAGUACUGUGGGCACUAUCCGAGUAGUUCGUCGUAAACGUUGCAGUGUCCGGAGUGCUCGAGUAUUGUCGCGUGGCUGGAAGGUACUCUUCUUGCUCCUUCGAUUUGCUUCUUAUUCCAAGGAUUUUAUAUGGUAGUGCGAUGACAAUCGCAUUCGAUAUGGAGUAGCCCCCGAGCCUUAGGUUGAGUCCAAGAGUCAGGCUUAGGGUCAAUCUUGCUUCUUGGCUGUUUUACUCUUGGUAAUCUGAAAAAGAAAAUUCUGACCAUCGGUACAGUACCCGCAGCCUCUGAGCACUUAGGUGAUUUUUGUCGUUGAAGUGGUCAAAACCCAUUGAUGGGAGUAGCCGUUGAGUGUUUAUGGAAUUAAAUCUUUUUAAAACCUUUCCGUUGCGUAACUGACGCUUGGAAUCCGAGGGCGACGGAGAUAUAACCGGAGGGGCCCCUUUCGGUUAGGUUUACACACCACUGUAACAGAUCUGCUUUUCUUCCUCCCCUGCUUUCCUGUUCCGCGUUUGCGUCGUCGCGAUUGUCUAGCACCGCCGCCGCCAUUGCUGCUCGUUUGAGAGAGAUCCAAGGUUAAGUGCAUUUUGCUGCGGUAGAAGCCGGCGGAUGUGCACCAAGAAUAUGGGGAAGAAACCCGAGAAGGCUCAGGGUAAGGCUCCAGCGACGGGCAAGGUGAAGUCAAAGAAGGGGAAGGAGCUAGUGUUGCUGGCGCUGAAGGUGGGGCCGACGAACCAAACUACACCGCUGCCGCCUGGAGCGACGUGGCAGCAUUCUGUGAUGAUGGAGGCGGCCAUUCAGGCGCUUGUCGACGCCAAGCUUCUGCAGCCAAGGGAGGUACUCGAGUGGAGGCCUGCCUUUGCUGACGCGUGGCAGUUCAAGAAACAUCCGAACGAGACGGUGAUGCUUGCACACUUUGUGGAGAUGGGGUUGGCAGUGCCCACCUCCGACUUCUUCAGAGGUAUCCUCAAGUACUACAAGCUUCAACUUGUACAUUUGAACCCCAAUGUGUACUGUAUAUGUCGAUUUUUGUGCACCUUUGUGAAGUUUACUUGGGAGUUCCUCAUAGCCUUGAACUGUUUAUGAAAUUAUUUCGCUGCAAGCCUCAACCUAGUGCACUUAGGACGGAGGUCUUUGGGGGUGUCGGGUUCCAACUCAGGAACUCGGGCGCGUAUAUUGACUAUAAUUUGACUGACUCCCAUGGGGAGUGGAAAAAGAGGUGGUUCUAUAUUGGGAACCAUAAUCCUCGCUUGCCGGUGGUUACUGGUCAUGCGCCAAAGCACGCGGAGAAUUGGGUGAGCGAGCCUGAAGAUACCCCAGAGCUCGACCAUUUGCUGCACCAGAUUUUCAAGUUGAAGGCACUCGGCUUGACUGGAGUUAAUGUGGCGGCCAGCUUUCUCAAGAGAAGAAUUCAGCCCUUGCAAAUACGGGCUCACUUGGGUGGGGAGUACUCGGGUUUUAAUGACCCGUCACGUAUGUCUCCGGAUGAUAUUUCUGAUGAUUAUGUUGAGGCACUGCUAGCCAAGUUCUUUAGGAACUAUCAAGGAGUACCAGUUAUUCCUUCAACUCUUCGUCAGUUUGAUGCUUGGUAUCAGCCAGAAAUGUCCCAAGUCCUUGCUGGCUAUCUGGCGCAGUCAGAAGAAGAAGAAUCUUUUGUUGAGGAGUCAGAGGAUGAGCCCUCUCCUCCUGUGAAGAAACGCCGAGUAGUCCGCAAGAGGUCUGCUGCUUAGUCUGCCUCGACUUCUCCUCCUAAGAAAUCUCAGGGUGCCAAGGCUGACGACGUGGCGCUUGGUGACGAUGAGGCUACUUCGGAUGAAGUGGUCGUGACCGCCCAGGGUGUUGACGUUGCGUCUGUUGAGAAGGUGCCAGAGGAGAUGCCGCCAGCAGAUGCUGGAGUAGCCCCCGAGCUGACAAUCCAGGCUCUGUCGGCUACGGUGCUGCCGGUCCCUGACCAGGCAGUCCUGGGUUUGCCUGCUCAGGGGCUGACAUUGCGAAGGGGGUAUCACCAGUAGUUUCUACUGGUUCUUUGUUAUCCAAUGUGAUCGCUAGUGGUCUUGGCAAGAAGACAGCGACAGAGGCUGCUCCCGCGGCGUCGAGUACUCGGCCGCCUGUUGCUGAGAAGAAGCGUGUGCGAUUGCCACCACGAUCAACUCGGGAUGCGGAGGAGACUAUCCCUGUAGAGGCAGGAGUAGAGUCGUGUCUCCCGACUACUCUUUCCGCUCCUUUGGAGGAUUGUCUGUCGAAGAAGUAACCGGAGUUGAUGCUAGUCGCCUUGGAGCUACCAUGUCUAUGCUUCAAGAAGUGAUCCGCUCGGUGGAAGAUCCCUCCGCUGCUUCGGGUUCUGGGAAUGUAUCCUUGUCGACGUCUACUAGCGGAGCUUUGGCUGUAGUGGAUGUGGAGAAAUCCAAGGAACCAGUUGCUCCAGGUACCGCCUUGGGUGCAGCUCCUGAUGUUGUGAAGAGUACUCGGGAUCCAGUACUCGAGCUUCCGUCUGAGUUGGAGUUCCAGAGAGCUAUCGAUGUUUUUCGAAGCUUCCAGGAUCUGUAUGACAGAACGCAAAGGAACACUCGGGCCCUUCAGGAGCGAAACGAGCAAUUGGAGCAGGAGUGUGCCCAGCUUACGGAAGCCCUGAGGGUUCAUGAAGAUGGAGCGAAAUCCUUUGCCAUUGAGCGGUUAGAUUAUGAAGUCUUGUAGCAGAAACUGAAGAGCCGCUACAAGUCUUUGAAUAAAAAGUAUCAAGAGCUCAAGAGGAAGGAGGCAACUGCGAGUAGCCAACUCCUUGACUAGAGAAACGCACAUGACCGAGUAGCGGAUGAGGCUAAAUAUCUUCGGGUUGCGCUGACGGAGGCAUAGGCUGCCUGCGAGCAUCAGCGGGACAGGAAGAUCCAGAAUGGAGUGAUGCUUGCUAUGGCCAUGGUGGCAUGCAGAGAUCACGCCCAAACCGUAGGAAGACUUUGAGGCGAGCUCCAAGAGUUAACUGAUGCUGCUCAAGACUUGGUGAAUGCUAUUGCCCUCUUGGAAGAGGACGCAGGACCGCGAUCAUUAGUCGAGUGCUUGAAGGCUGCUCCGGGUAAGGUGGCCGGCCUCUGCAAGGUUGUUUGCAAACAAGUUCUUGCUGUGGUCAAGUCAUACUACCCGAGGGCAGAUUUGUCAGCGGCUGGUGACAGCGUUGCUCGCAACUGCA